rnacentral:rRNA from 1 species
CCUACGGGAGGCUGCAGUGAGGAAUAUUGGUCAAUGGACGAGAGUCUGAACCAGCCAAGCCGCGUGAAGGAUGACUGUCCUAUGGGUUGUAAACUUCUUUUAUCUGGGAAUAAAAGAGGGUAUGCAUACCCUCUUGUAUGUACCAUAUGAAUAAGGAUCGGCUAACUCCGUGCCAGCAGCCGCGGUAAUACGGAGGAUCCGAGCGUUAUCCGGAUUUAUUGGGUUUAAAGGGUGCGUAGGGGGAUUGUUAAGUCAGUUGUGAAAGUUUGCGGCUCAACCGUAAAAUUGCAGUUGAAACUGGCAGUCUUGAGUACAGUAGAGGUGAGCGGAAUUCGUGGUGUAGCGGUGAAAUGCGUAGAUAUCACGAAGAACUCCAAUUGCGAAGGCAGCUCACUGGACUGCAACUGACACUGAUGCUCGAAAGUGUGGGGAUCAAACAGGAUUAGAUACCCGUGUAGUC